rnacentral:rRNA from 1 species
CUAAUACCGGAUAUUAUGAGAUUCUCGCAUGAGAAAUUUAUGAAAGCUAUAUGCGCCAAGAGAGAGCCUUGCGUUCCAUUAGCUAGUUGGUGGGGUAACGGCCCACCAAGGCGACGAUGGAUAGCCGGCCUGAGAGGGUGAACGGCCACAAGGGGACUGAGACACGGCCCUUACUCCUACGGGAGGCAGCAGUGGGGAAUAUUGGACAAUGGGCCACAAGCCUGAUCCAGCAAUUCUGUGUGCACGAUGAAGGUCUUCGGAUUGUAAAGUGCUUUCAGUUGGGAAGAAGAAAGUGACGGUACCAACAGAAGAAGCGACGGCUAAAUACGUGCCAGCAGCCGCGGUAAUACGUAUGUCGCAAGCGUUAUCCGGAUUUAUUGGGCGUAAAGCGCGUCUAGGCGGAAAAAUAAGUCUGAUGUUAAAAUGCGGGGCUCAACUCCGUAUUGCGUUGGAAACUGUUUUUCUAGAGUACUGGAGAGGUGGGCGGAACUACAAGUGUAGAGGUGAAAUUCGUAGAUAUUUGUAGGAAUGCCGAUGGAGAAGUCAGCUCACUGGACAGAUACUGACGCUGAAGCGCGAAAGCGUG